CGUAUUGUUAAGUAUAGUAAGUGUAUUUUUUUAUGAUAUUUUAUCACACAAUAUGCCAUCCUCAUCUUGGCAAUUCCGUGGUAAAGUUCAAACAUAGACUAUAACAGAUUAUAGGCACAGACUACAGCAUAGACAUUGGCCUAGGUUUUAAGUCAAACAUGAAUUUAAAUAAAGUCAUAUGGAACUGGAGCAGAGCCAAAUCCUCGCUCCAGCCUUUGAAUUGAAAACCGUUCUGCGCUCCACCAUAUUUCUUCCACUUCGCUCCGCUCACAUGAUCGGUCCCUGACCUUUACUGAUUCCAGUUGGCCCUGAAGUGCUUUAUCUAAGUUUUUUAUGUGAUCUUGGAUUUUGGGCCACUUCUUAGUCAAAGCAGCCUAAAUAAAUGAUGAAGUGUAGGGUUUGGCUGAAGACAUCCUGGUUGCACAGUAUCUUCUGGCCAAGUAAAAAAAAAAUCUAAACAAAGGGUCAAGAAGGGGAGUGAUGGAAGACAAAAUAAUAACUAACUUACAGGUUUGCAACCGACUGGGCUUUUCUUGCUAAGUUACACUAAUGUACAAUCAGUCAAAAAAACAUUGUUCCUAUCAACUCAUAUUGAUUUCAGUGCUUUAAAUUUUUUUCAUCCUCUAAAAUAUUCCCCUUAUAAUUACUAAUCAUCAAUUCCCAGUGAUGCUGAUUGCAAUUAAAUCAAAUAAAACCUGACUUUAACAUUUUCUUUUUUAUUGAAAUAUUCCCUCCCAAUAAUUCUCACAUACAUUCCUUAUUUGAUGACACUUUAGCUCAUAUGACACUGGAGAAGACCUGAAGCCGGAAUUAUUACACUUCCAAACACUUUAAGUGUCCCUCUUCAUUCAGCUUGGUUGGAACUGGACCGAACAGAUACGGAUAAAGAUGAAAGACUGCCAAAGCAUUACCAAGCAAUGAACCAACAAGAGGCUCACUUUUAUACCUUUCAUUUUUGCACUUCUAUUCAAAGAAGGCCAAACUUGAUGAUUAUUUUAGAAUCCUGUUAAAUCACUUUUUUGACAAUUAUUAUUUUUGUAUAUACUAUUUAUGUUGUAAACGUUUUUUUUCUACUAGAGCUAUAAAUUAUUUUAAAACUAUUCAGUUCAAGAGUCUUGAGAAUUCUUCUGCUGGUGGGUUUCCAUGUUUUCUUCUUUCUUCAGGACAGAGACAUAAUACAAGUUAUUCAGGAAGGACACAACGACUUUAAUUCAGUUUACAGACUGCUUAGGAGGCUGAUAAAGAUACUAUCUGUUA